rnacentral:rRNA from 1 species
UAGUCCACGCCGUAAACGAUGGUUACUAGCUGUUUGGACUAAUUGAGGUCUAAGUGGCCAAGCGAAAGUGAUAAGUAACCCACCUGGGGAGUACGUUCGCAAGAAUGAAACUCAAAGGAAUUGACGGGGGCCCGCACAAGCGGUGGAGCAUGUGGUUUAAUUCGAUGAUACGCGAGGAACCUUACCAGGGCUUAAAUGCAGUAUGACAGACUUGGAAACAGGUUUUUCUUCGGACAUAUUGCAAGGUGCUGCAUGGUUGUCGUCAGCUCGUGCCGUGAGGUGUCAGGUUAAGUCCUAUAACGAGCGCAACCCCUAUUGCUAGUUGCCAGCGGAUAAUGCCGGGGACUCUAGUGAGACUGCCGGUGCAAACCGUGAGGAAGGUGGGGAUGACGUCAAAUCAUCACGGCCCUUACGUCUAGGGCUACACACGUGCUACAAUGGUAGAUACAGAGCGUUGCUGCUUGGUGACAAGUUUGCUAAUCGCUAAAGUCUAUCUCAGUUCGGAUUG